rnacentral:rRNA from 1 species
GUGUCGUGAGAUGUUGGGUUAAGUCCCGCAACGAGCGCAACCCUUUUCCUUAUUUGCCAGCGGGUUAAGCCGGGAACUUUAAGGAUACUGCCAGUGACAAACUGGAGGAAGGCGGGGACGACGUCAAGUCAUCAUGGCCCUUACGACCAGGGCUACACACGUGCUACAAUGGUGGGUACAGAGGGUUGCUACACAGCGAUGUGAUGCUAAUCUCAAAAAGCCUAUCGUAGUCCGGAUUGGAGUCUGCAACUCGACUCCAUGAAGUCGGAAUCGCUAGUAAUCGCAGAUCAGAAUGCUGCGGUGAAUACGUUCCCGGGCCUUGUACACACCGCCCGUCACACCAUGGGAGUCUAUUGCACCAGAAGUAGGUAGCCUAACGAAAGAGGGCGCUUACCACGGUGUGGUCGAUGA